rnacentral:rRNA from 1 species
CAGUAGCGUAUAUUAAAGUUGUUGCAGUUAAAAAGCUCGUAGUUGGAUUUCUGACUUCAAACACCUGACCCUCCCUCGCUAGAGGUGUGUGUGCCGGAGUGUUUGUAUCAUCCUUUCAGAUGUCGUCUCUGCCCUUAACCGGGUUGGAGAUGUCUUAUCUGGAUCUUUUACUUUGAAGAAAUUGGAGUGUUUAAAGCAGGCUUACGCCAGAACAUAUUAGCAUGGAAUAAUAAUUUAGGACUUUUGUUCUAUUUUGUUGGUUUCUAGGACGAAAGUAAUGAUUGAUAGGGAUAGUUGGGGGUGCUAGUAUUCGGCGGCCAGAGGUGAAAUUCUUUGAUCCGCUGAAGACU